AUACGUAGGUGGCAAGCGUUAUCCGGAUUUACUGGGUGUAAAGGGCGCGUAGGCGGGGAUGCAAGUCAGAUGUGAAAUCUAUGGGCUUAACUCAUAAACUGCAUUUGAAACUGUGUCUCUUGAGUGCUGGAGAGGUAGACGGAAUUCCUUGUGUAGCGGUGAAAUGCGUAGAUAUAAGGAAGAACACCAGUGGCGAAGGCGGUCUACUGGACAGUAACUGACGCUGAGGCGCGAAAGCGUGGGGAGCAAACAGGAUUAGAUACCCUGGUAGUCCACGCUGUAAACGAUGAAUACUAGGUGUGGGGGGACUGACCCCCUCCGUGCCGCAGUUAACACAAUAAGUAUUCCACCUGGGGAGUACGGCCGCAAGGUUGAAACUCAAAUGAAUUGACGGGG
rnacentral:rRNA from 1 species